AUUGAACGCUGGCGGCAUGCUUUACACAUGCAAGUCGAACGGUAACAGGCCUUCGGGUGCUGACGAGUGGCGAACGGGUGAGUAAUGCAUCGGAACGUGCCCAGAGGUGGGGGAUAACGCAGCGAAAGCUGUGCUAAUACCGCAUGUGAUCUGAGGAUGAAAGCGGGGGACCAGGCAGCAAUGUUUGGCCUCGCGCCUUUGGAGCGGCCGAUGUCAGAUUAGGUAGUUGGUGGGGUAAAGGCCUACCAAGCCGACGAUCUGUAGCUGGUCUGAGAGGACGACCAGCCACACUGGGACUGAGACACGGCCCAGACUCCUACGGGAGGCAGCAGUGGGGAAUUUUGGACAAAGGGCGCGAGCCUGAUCCAGCAAUGCCGCGUGCGGGAAGAAGGCCUUCGGGUUGUAAACCGCUUUUGUACGGAACGAAAAGGCUCUGGCUAAUACCUGGGGCUGAUGACGGUACCGUAAGAAUAAGCACCGGCUAACUACGUG
rnacentral:rRNA from 1 species